ACUAACGGACAGCACCGGCCUCUGGGAGUUCAGAUACAGUGAUGCUUCAGAAACUGUGGACCCUCGGACCCAGCCCCUGUUAAUGUUGAAGGACCAGGAAAUAUGAAUCUAGGUAGCAGCUGAGGCUCUAGCUAAGGACCAUGCAAAGCGUGUUGGAGAAUGUGUUUCCAGCUCACCUAAGUAAAAAAAAAAAGACUACCCGACCCGACCGCACAGAUUCGCAGUCGAGUUGAAAUCGAUCUGAAAAAAAGAAUUGGUGCGCGUUAAUUUAAACAAAUCUCCUAAGAUCCAAGGCUACAGGAUCCGAGCUCACCAAAGAUCACAACACGGGGUAUGAGUUCCCGAGAGCCUGCUGUAAAUACGCCAGCUAUUUAAUCUCACUUGGAACCUGCAAGUUAGGUAACAUCCAGAUCUCCUUCCCAAAUGAAGGGCCGUGGCACAGGUGUCCUUGGAUGACCUGAAACUCACAUGGACAGGCCUGGCUUUGGACUCCUGGACAGACAGACAUACUGCCUCAGCUUCCAGAGUGUUGGGAUGAUAGGCAUGUGCUACCAUGCAGAGCUCUGCUUUGUAUUUUGAGACAGGGUCUCACUUUGUAACCCAUCUUGAGUUACAGCAAGCCUCCUGCCCUGGCCUCUAGAGUGCUGGGUUUUCAGGUGUAUAUAACCACACUCAGUUUACUUUCUGUAUGUUAGGAUGGUUUGGUAUUUCCCAAAGUUUGAAGGCUUGGGGGAAGUUUAUGCUCUUAGGGGUCCCCAUCAUGCUGUACCUGGUGGCUCUCUUUCCUUAUGCUCUCCCGCUUCAGGCCCCAUCGUGGGCGCCUCUGCUCAUGAGCCUGUAGCUCUCCCUAAUAAAGCUCUAUGAAGGGUGA
rnacentral:lncRNA from 1 species